rnacentral:ncRNA from 15 species
CUGAAUAUUCCAUUACCGGGUGCCCAUUCCACAGGGAUGGGUUAAAAGGGAAAGUGGUGAAAAACCACUGCAGCCCACCGUUACUGUGAUGUUGACGAAACCUGUAAAAAUCACUGGAAUAUAUUCCGGGAAGAUAAGGGAGUAGAAUGAAACUCAGCCAGGAAACCUGCCCGAUAAUUGUUGAAUCUU